rnacentral:rRNA from 1 species
ACAAAAUUCUAGUCUUAUCGGUGGAU